UAUUUCUGCUCUCGGUCCUUCAUCCUUGCUGUUCCUUCAGUCUCUCAGAGAGUUUUUCUACACUGUUGAAAAGUUUGAUGCUGACUCUGUUUCAGUAAUGUUAUCUGUUACAUCCUGUCGGUUUCUGUUUAAACAUUAAUACCUUUAUUCUAAGAUUAAUUCAACUAUUCGAAGCUUUAUAAACCAUUCAUGUGUGUAAACUAGUUGAGAAAACCAACACUAUGCUUAUUCUAGUUUGAAUUUUAGUUCCCUUUUUCAUCUACCAAGAUGGCGCCGACGAUGGCAGCCUCGGAGCUUCGCUCUCUCUUUUUUGUGUAUUUUGUGUGUUUUUAUGUUUUUCGAGCCACAGUACUGUGGUCUCAUCCAGCAGAGAGAAACUUCUCAACAUCAGAGAGUCCUCUCUCGGGAUUCUUUCACCAUCAUUCAUCGAUCCGAGCUUCUGGCGAGCGGAACCGCGGCACUUUAUGGCAUCUUGCACCGAAAGCGUCGGAGGGGAAAGCGUGCUGGUAAAGCUCCACCAAAGAGGACUACAAACACCACUGCCUUCAAUCCAUCUGGCAAAUGUCCGCUCUCUGAGUAAGAAGAUGGACGAGCUGAUUCUUCUCACCUUUAAUAGCUUGGAAAUAAAGCUGAUUUUGAUUCAAGAUAAAAUUUACCACACAUUUUCUGGUCUCUUUCUCAGAAAUCAUCUCUUUUGUGUUUCACAUUAAACUGGAUGAGUUUUUCCUUUUUGUUGCACAGAUGCACAGUUUUCUGUUGAAAUGCAGAUUAAGAUGAACAACAUUUACAGUUACCUCUUAUAGAGCUCAGUGUCUGUUGCUUUGGAGAACUUGCAGUUUUCUACAACUCUUAGAUUAGUCAAAGAACCAGAGGAAACUGCUCUUUGCUUCCUGAUUUAAAGCAGCUGAAGAGGAACAUCAGCAGAAACCACAGAGUGUUCCAACAUCUAACGCUUCAUCACAGAAACAACGAUACAAUCUGCAGAUCAGAGCUACUUUCUACAAAGAUGAAAAAUAAAUCAACUAAAUCAUGGAAACGUUUUAGAUUUUUUCCAAGCUUUGACUUGCUGCAGUUGGAGAUUUAACCAGGUGGAACAAAGAAACCAGAAGGUUGUUCAGCUAAAUAGUUGUUUCUAGAAUUGAUUUACUAGAUCAUUUGCACAUUUAUUCUCACACCUUCAGUUAAAUUUAUAAAAAUGUUUUCUCUUCAUGCUGCUGAAUCUUACAGUAAUUACUGACUGUUGAUCUUCUCAGCAUCACUGCAGGAUGGAGACACUGGAGAACCUCGUACAGCAAAGGAAGGAACCAACAUCACAGUUUCAUGUCCAUUUAGGUACUCUGGAAGCAGAAGGUUCUUCUGUAAGGAAACCUGUGAAGGAAACAAUAUUCUGAUUGAAACAACAGAGGACAGAGAUCAGCGAGGAAGAUACAGCAUUUAUUAUGGAAAAAAAAACUUUUUAUCAUCUGAUAUUAUGUAUGUGAGCAUCACACGGCUGAAACAGUCUGACUCAGGACGGUACCGGUGUCAAUUGAAUAAUACAUGGACUGCAACUCAAUAUGAGGAUUUUGAUCUUGAUGUAACAGGAGCUUCAACCACUUCAGAACCAAAGUGGACUCUGCAAACUUUUACAUCAACAACAUUAACACAGAGGUUGAGUUCCUCUUCUUCCUCCCUGUCUGAAAGCACCCAACAGACCAGAACAUCAACUGGACCCAAAAGUCUGCAGCUUUAUGUGGGUCUGACUCUGGUCGUCAAGAUCAUCUUGUUAUGAACACCUCUGGUGAUUUUCUGCUGGAAGAGGAGGGUCACGAAAACCAAAGAUCCUGCUGUAGAAUCAGAAUAAUUUGUCGUCUCUCAUGACCAACCCAGAGAGGGAGGAAAUCAGAGAGGAGGACAAACAGAACCGUUCAUCUGCUGAGGAAACAUCUUCAGUUUAGACCUGAACUAAACUCUGUGAAACAAUCAGAGCUAAAAGUACAGAUGAGGAAAAUGUUGUCUGAUGUUUUCACAACAAACAAUAUAAAAUAACACAAAAUCACACAGGACAGUUGUCCUUUGCUAAAAAUGUUACAAAAGAUGAUUUGAAGACUUUCUAGUUGCUCUGCUGUAACAGGUUUUAUUAAACACUUGUUUUCAAUCAGUAGUUUCAAGUAAAACAACAAAUAUAUAUGUUGUUUUAUUUCAUAUAUAUUUCAUAUUGAACAUUUUUAUUGUUAGCCUCUUUAGUUUUAUUUAUGUAUAUACUUUAUAUUGAUAGUUUAGUUUACAUUUCUGUGCUGUCUAUGUUUUAUUUAAUCUGAUUUUUUUGUCAUUAUUUGGGUGGAGGCCUCAGAGAAGCUCUGAGUUUCUGCCUCUGUGUCGUUUGUUUACUAAAUGAGUUAAAUGAACAAAUGAAACUAAAACUCUGGCAGGACUUUAAUGUUCAGUUCAUUACCAGAAACAUUUAGGUAACAAUAUAUGGUUCCUAAAACAAAGGUUAUUUUCAACAUGUUUUGCAAUGGAGCAAAUGUUCAGUAAGAAUAUGUUUCAGAUUGUGGUUAAAUAAGCUGUCAUGUCUUCAUGGUCUUUACUUCCUUUAUAUCACUUUAUAUUUGUCAGUUUUAAACCCUAGGGGUCUGGGGUAUAUAUUGCUGUUUUUGAUAAAUGACAUUUUUUACAUUUCCUAUUAAAAGGUGUUUAUAUUUC